rnacentral:rRNA from 1 species
AUUGAACGCUGGCGGCAGGCCUAACACAUGCAAGUCGAGCGAGCGGCGGACGGGUUAGUAAUGGCUGGGAAACUGCCUGAUGGAGGGGGAUAACUUCUGGAAGCGGUAGCUAAUACCGCAUACCAUCAGAUGUGCCCAGAUGGGAUUAGCUGGUAGGGGGGGUAACGGCUCACGUAGGCGACGAUCCCUAGCUGGGCUGAGAGGAUGACCAGCCGCACGGGAAGUGAGACAUGGUCCAUGCUACUACGGGAGGCACAAGUGGGGAAUAUGGCACAACGGGCGCAAGCCUGAUGCAGCCAUGCCGCGUGUGUGAAGAAGGCCUUCGGGGUGGAAAGCACUUUCAGCGGGGAGGCGUUACCCGCAGAAGAAGCACCGGCUAACUCCGUGCCAGCAGCCGCGGUAAUUC